CCCAAUGGUGAUAUGGAAGUAGGUGUUGCCACUGCUCCAGUUGGAGAUCUUGGUGAAGGGAUGAGUGGUCAAGAUGUCCUGGGAAAGCAGAGAAAAUUUGAACCUGCACAGUCUGGACCCUCUGGCGUCACUUUCCUCAGCACCAGCCCACACCCACCAGAAAGGCCUUGGGCCCUCAGACAAGCAAAGAAGCAAGAAGAGAGAAUCCAGCUCUGCUGUGGAGAUGCUAGGGGAGGCAGAUGCCUUCUCCCUCCGUAUCCAUGAGGCUAUGGGGUGACAGUCACUUAAUCUCCACGAGCCUCCAACCCCUCAACUGUAGAAUGAGAGAACAGCGUCGACCAAAUAGGGCUGUGAAGGGGACCACGGGACGUGAAGGAUGCACAUGGGCUGUGCAGAGUAUGGAGUAUGGCCCAGACGUCCCCGACACACUGGAAGGUAUGCGCCAGCCCUUCUGAGCAGCCAGACACGAUUGCGUCCAGAAUGGGCACCACGCUGCAGGCUUUGUCCGACUGGCAGCUGUGGUACCCCAGGGACAGGUCCCACGUGUUGUGUGGCCAUGCCCUCACCCGCCAGGGAUACCCACAAGCCCCACUGGGGCUGAGAGCCCAUCCCGGCACCUGCCACAGGCUCUUUGCCCACCACCUCUGCUCUCAGUGGGCCGCCGUACCUCAGGGCUUUCUGGAGCCGCUGCAGGCAGUCGAUGGCGAGCGGACAGUGCUUACGGGACUGCAGAAAGCGCUGCACGUGGGGCAGCAGGAUGUUGCUGGGUGGGAAGAGGCCCGUGCACAGCCAGAGCAGCUCCCAGCCACGCUCCUCGCUAUACCUGCGGGAAGAGAUGGGGUGUCCAGCGGGGGUUCUGCAGGCCACUUGUGGAUCUGAGCAUCCUUGGCGCCUCACUGUGGCGGCACGUGUCUGUCUUGACCCCCAUGCCUCUCUUCUGGGGACCAACGCAGACCCGCCUCCCUGGUGGCCAGAUCCAGUUAGUGCUACACAAAGUGUGGUUGGCCAACCCACACUGGGCCACGCAGUUACCGGCCACAUGGAGGUAAGGUGCUCAUUCAUGCCAGAAUGAACAUCAGCGAUGUCACCAAGCACUCUUGGUUCAGCUGAGAUUUUUUUUCUUCUUAGUAAGACUUUCCUAUGAAGGAAGCCUUGUGUGAUCUGUAUUCUGGCAAAAACUCUUUAACUCGUCUGUUCUUUAACUAGCACUGAGUUAGCACAACCCCUGGGCUUCAUUGGGCACUCUGAGCUCCCUGGGCCUGACGGGAGAGAAGCACAGAGGGCUUCUAGGAGGAGGUGGCAUUUGAGCUAGGUUUUGAAGGCUGACGCAAAUUCUGAUAUGCAAAAAAGGCCAUAAAUGCUGGCUGUGAGCACAGCAUGUAUAAAGGUUUGUCAGUGUGAGAAGAUCUGAGUAUGAUUCGAGGGUGGAUUUUGCAAGAGGCGCAGAAGAUGACAAACCUGGGGACAUAAUUGGCGGUCUGGGUGUAAGGGGAGAUGGUGGGGCUUCUCUCAGGCUCUGAGACUUAGCAUGUCCCUGACUUCCCAUUCCUGCCGUGGUCUGACCCAGCAGGGACAAGGUGGCACCCUCUGGGACCCAACACCUUCAGCCCAGAAUUUUCAGCCGGAGCUUCCAACUGACAGCCAGCACAGCCCGAGCCAGGCUGGGGACAUUUGCUCAUGAGCACAACCUCCAGAAUGGAGUCUGGGCUGGGAGGGGUACCCGGAGGAGGUUUGGGCAGUGAGUGGAGCAAAUUUAGGAGGAACCGGUGCUGUCAGACUUGGAGAAGGACAGAUUCAGAGGGUGCAUCCACCUCUUGGUACUUGACCAGACUUCCUUGGACCUUGCGGCAGAGGGUCAGAGGAGACAAUGGAUGAGGCAGCCCCUCGUGCACUGUAAGGUGCCAGGCAUAGAUGAAGCCACUCCACCCGAAUCCCUCCGCCCUGCCCAGGACCCACCUGGGCCCCUCAGAAGAAGGUAGGUAUCUGGAUGAAAACCCUGGAGGCAGGGGCCUGGUUCCCCCCUGCCCUGAGGUCCCCCUCCUUGUGGCCCUUGCCCUGCCCUUCCAUGGCACCCACCCCUGGUAUGGAUAUCAAUGAAGGCCAUGCAGGCUUCCUGUGAGAGCUCCUCGCUGCCCAGGAUCUUCUUGAGCAGUGCUUGCUUGAGCGGCUCCCGUGUGUGGCUCCACAGCCGGUCCUUGCCACGGGCCUUGGACACCAUGACCCGGCUCAGCGUGUGCUUGGGUGGGGGCCUGACAUGGCACAGCCAGCAUUGACCCCAGAUUGUGAGACCCACCCCUACCCAACCUGUGCAUGGAGGUGGAAGGCCCUGCUCCUCCCUGCUAUAAGGGCAACCUGGGAUGAGUCAACCAGCCCUCCCUGGACCUUACUUUCUCAGCUAGAAAGCCAGCCCUGCCCACCCCCAUGGCCUCCUCCCCAUUGCUCCUCUCGGCUUUCUCUGCUCUGGCCUUGGCAUGUGCUGCCUGCGGCAUUCCUCCACCCAGGUCACCCCCUGCACAGCUCGGCUCAGAUGCCACCUCCUCCAGGAAGCCUCUCCUCUGUCACCACCCCCAUCACAAUGCUGGGCAUACAGAAUCACAGCUGCCCAGUUUUGUGCCUAUCUCCCCACCAGGACUGUGAGUCGGUGAGACAGGCACAGGCAUGAGUCGUGAGUGCCCAGGACCCCACCUGGGGUGACCACAGUCAUGCUGUCAAAUGAAGGAAGGAUAAAAUGGCACAGCACAAGACGGCACAUCUCGACAGACAAAAGCUGCCCUCCUGUUCACUCCGACCCAGGCCCUGCUCACACACAGCAGCAGCAGGAGGCAACCCCACCACGCGGACUAGAGUAGCAGAAGCCUGUGGCUCACACUGUCCUGGCCCACCUACCCUUUCCCCAUCACCUGAAAUAGUCGUAGGAAAAUUCCUCCAGCGUGUAGGGCUUGGCGCGCACCUCGGGCUCUGCUGUCCGCAGCUGCAAGAGCCGAAUGACGUCCUGUCUCUGGUCGGGGGUCAUGGUGACCAGGGCCUAGAGACCGAGAGACAAGGGUCUGAGGUCAGCUCUUCACCUGGGACCCCUGGAGCCAACAUGGUAAAGCCCAGAGCCUUCUGGACUGGGGCUGGGGAAGUCGGUCACCACGGGGUUGACCCUCACCCCAUUCUGACCCUGGGACCCCUUUUGUUCUUUGCCAUCUCUGAGGCUACUGCUGCCUCCAUCUGCUGCACUCGGGGUCCUUUCCGCAGUCCCCCGAGUCUGAACCAGGUUGGGUCAGUGAGAAGGCCAGAUGGAGGAGGGGGAUGUGGCGUGAGAACCACCCAGUCAACAGCGCCUGGCUCAGGAGCUGCCUGGAAAGCUGGGCUCUGAG